rnacentral:rRNA from 1 species
GACCUCAGUUCAGGCAAGGGCACCCGCUGAACUUAAGCAUAUCACUAAGCGGAGGAAAAGAAACGAACCAGGAUUCCCCUAGUAACGGCGAGUGAACCGGGAGGAGCCCAACUUGAAAAUCGAGAACCCUCGACUGGGUUUUCGAGUUGUAGUCUAGAGACGCGUCUUCUGCGCGGUCCCCGUCCUAAGUUCCCUGGAACGGGACGUCGGAGAGGGUGAGAGCCCCGUCGGCACGGGGGUGCCGCGCUCCACGAAGCGCGUUCGUCGAGUCGGGUUGUUUGGGAAUGCAGCCCCAAUUGGGUGGUAAAUUCCAUCUAAGGCUAAAUACGGGCGAGAGACCGAUAGCGAACAAGUACCGCGAGGGAAAGAUGAAAAGCACUUUGAAAAGAGAGUGAAACAGUACUUGAAAUUGUUGAGAGGGAAGGACUUGGAAGCCGCGGGUGCGCCUCGGUCCACGGACGCGAGGCGCUGGUCAGCGUGGAUGGACGCGUCGGUAGAACCGGUCCCUGCGUCGGGAUCCGAUGCCGACGCGUCGAUCGAGGAAGGGGGAGUUCGUCUCCCUCGCAGCGCGCGCGUUCCUUCGGGGACGCGGCUCCUUCGGGAGACCUGCGCGCUCGAGACGCUGGCGGAAGGUUUCCAAUUCACCCGUCUUGAAACACGGACCAAGGAGUCUAACAUGUAUGCGAGUCGGUGGGGCGCACCCCCACGAGGCGCAAGGAACCUGACGGGAGGGAGGCCGGCAACGGCCGCACCUUCGACCAACCCUGAUCUUCUGUGAAAGGUUUGAGUACGAGCAUACCUGUUGGGACCCGAAAGAUGGUGAACUAUGCCUGAGCAGGGCGAAGCCAGAGGAAACUCUGGUGGAGGCUCGUAGCGAUACUGACGUGCAAAUCGUUCGUCGGACUUGGGUAUAGGGGCGAAAGACUAAUCGAACCAUCUAGUAGCUGGUUCCCUCCGAAGUUUCCCCCAGGAUAGCUGGUGCGCUUUGCAGUUUUAUCGGGUAAAGCGAAUGAUUAGAGGUUUCGGGGGAGGAACUCCUUCGACCUAUUCUCAAACUUUAAAUAGGUAAGCGGCCGGGGUUGCUUCGUUGAACCCCGGCGCCGAAUGCGCGCACCAAGUGGGCCAUUUUUGGUAAGCAGAACUGGCGAUGCGGGAUGAACCGAAAGCCGAGUUACGGCGCCGAACUACGCGCUCACCUAGAUCCCACAAAGGGUGUUGAUUGGUACAGACAGCAGGACGGUGGUCAUGGAAGUCGAAAUCCGCUAAGGAGUGUGUAACAACUCACCUGCCGAAUCAAUUAGCCCCGAAAAUGGAUGGCGCUGAAGCGCGUGGCCUAGACUCGGCCAUCGGGGCAAAUGCGAGGCCCCGAUGAGUAGGAGGGCGUGGGGCGCGUGACGCAGCCUGGGGCGCAAGCCCGGGUGAAACGCGCUCUAGUGCAGAUCUUGGUGGUAGUAGCAACUAUUCAAACGAGACCUUUGAAGACUGAAGUGGAGAAAGGUUCCAUGUGAACAGCAUUUGGACAUGGGUGAGUCGAUCCUAAGAGCAAGGGUAACUCCGUUUCACAGCGCGCAUGUCACGUGUCUGCGUAUCGAAAGGGAAUCGGGUUAAUAUUCCCGAACCGGGUCGCGGCGGCGGGCGGCAACGCAAGCGAGCCCAGAGACGCCGGCGGGGGUCCCAGGAAGAGUUCUCUUUUCUUUUUAACAGCUCGGAGUCCCUGGAAUCGGAUUAUCCGGAGAGAGGGAUUCGCAGCUGGGAAAGCACCGCACGUCGCGCGGUGUCUGGUGCGCCCCCGACGGUCCUUGAAAAUCUGGGGGAGCGUCAUUCCGAUCGCGCCUGGUCGUACUCAU